rnacentral:rRNA from 1 species
AUUGAACGCUGGCGGCAGGCCUAAUACAUGCAAGUCGAACGCAGUGGGGACGGGUGAGUAACACGUGGGUAACCUCCCAUCAGAGGGGAUAACCCUUGGAAACAGGUGCUAAACCGAUACUGAUGGAUGGACCCGCUGUGCAUUAGCUAGUUGGUGCGGUAACGGCUCACCAAGGCCACGAUGCAUAGCCGACCUGAGAGGGUGACCAGCCACACUGGGACUGAGACACGGCCCAGACUCCUACGUGAGGCAGCAGUAGGUAAUAUUGGGCAAUGGACGAAAGGCUGACCGAGCAACGCCGCGUGAGUGAAGAAGGUUUUCGGAUCGUAAAACUCUGUUGUUGGAGAAGCGGUAUCUAACCAGAAAGCCACGGCUAACUACGUGCCAGCAGCCGCGGUAAUAC